rnacentral:rRNA from 1 species
UACGUAGGUGGCAAGCGUUGUUCGGAAUUACUGGGCGUAAAGGGCGCGUAGGCGGUUCGCUAAGUUGAAUGUGAAAACUCUGGGCUUAACCCAGAGCCUGCAUUCAAUACUGGCGGGCUAGAGUUCUGGAGGGGAUAGCGGAAUUCCUGGUGUAGCGGUGAAAUGCGUAGAUAUCAGGAGGAACACCGGUGGCGAAGGCGGCUAUCUGGACAGAGUCUGACGCUGAGGCGCGAAAGCUAGGGGAGCAAACAGG